UGGUGUGGUGUAGUGUGUGGUGUGUGGUGUGUAGUAGUGUGUGGUGUGGAGUAGUGUGUGGUGUGGUGUGGUGUUGUGUGGUGUAGUGUGUGGUGUAGUGUGUGGUGUGGUGUAGUGUGUGGAGUAGUGUGGUGUGGUGUAGUGUGGUGUGUGGUGUAGUGUGUGGAGUAGUGUGUGGUGUGUAGUGUGUGGUGUGGUGUAGUGUGUGGUGUAGUGUGUGGUGUGGUGUAGUGUGUGGUUUGGAGUAGUGUGUGGUGUGGUGUAGUGUGUGGUGUAGUGUGUAGUGUGUGGUGUGGUGUGGUGUGGAGUAGUGUG
ensembl:lncRNA